CAACCAGUUUCUUUACCCAGUAACCGAAAAGAAGACGAAAGAAUGACAUAUUACAGGGGUGGCCACACCUUAAAACCCCAUUACUCAUACAAUUCCUGAACGUUGUUCACAAACUGAUGUCAUGUUACCUGCUUUGUGUGAAUGGGUAUAUAAGAUGAUGUGUGUUCAGUAGAGGAAAUCAACCAGCAAACAGCAACAGGUGGAAUCAGAGAGCAUCACAGCUUCAAUCACUGCAGUCAAGACAAAUCUACGGCAGACAAAACCUUAAGCACAUCUUUCCAAAAUGAUGAAGAUCUGUCUAAUUCUUCUUCUGUAUGUCGG